AUUGAACGCUGGCGGCAGGCUUAACACAUGCAAGUCGAGCGGAGCGAGGGUGCUUGCACCUUAGCUUAGCGGCGGACGGGUGAGUAAUGCUUAGGAAUCUGCCUAUUAGUGGGGGACAACAUUCCGAAAGGAAUGCUAAUACCGCAUACGCCCUACGGGGGAAAGCAGGGGAUCUUCGGACCUUGCGCUAAUAGAUGAGCCUAAGUCGGAUUAGCUAGUUGGUAGGGUAAAGGCCUACCAAGGCGACGAUCUGUAGCGGGUCUGAGAGGAUGAUCCGCCACACUGGGACUGGAACACGGCCCAGACUCCUACGGGAGGCAGCAGUGGGGAAUAUUGGACAAUGGGCGGAAGCCUGAUCCAGCCAUGCCGCGUGUGUGAAGAAGGCCUUUUGGUUGUAAAGCACUUUAAGCGAGGAGGAGGCUACUUAGAUUAAUACUCUGGGAUAGUGGACGUUACUCGCAGAAUAAGCACCGGCUAACUCUGUGCCAGCCGCCACAGUAACAC
rnacentral:rRNA from 1 species